rnacentral:ncRNA from 1 species
GGGAAUACGAUGAUAGAGAGUAGUACGCAGAAGAAUGCUUCUUCAGAAAGCCGGUGGUGGAUGCGAACCGGUGAAGCUGGUCUGCCGAAUGGACUCUGGAGUGCUUGGCUGAAAUGGACCUCUGUGGAGGAUUCCGGAUUAGGCCGGCCGGCUGGUUCACCGUUAACGGAACCUGUAUGAGGCCGGACUCUGUCUGUGCUGUAGCUAUAUGAUAUAGUGCUGCAGCCCAGUGAUACCGGUAAAUGAGGGUGGCACCACGGUCACACGUCCCUUGC